UCAUGGCACAUUGGAAGAACUCAAGCUCUUCACAGAUGCAAUUGAAAGGUGAGACAUAAGUGGCAUAGAUCAACUUUCCAAAUACAUGAAAGUACGUGCUUUAUUCUGCAGUCCUAGAUGUUUACAAUGAAAUUGAGGAAGAUCUGAGAAAGGAAGGACAAUCUUAUCGACUUAAUUAUGCAAUAGAAGCAAUGAAGAGACAGUGCAGAGCCUACUUCAUAGAAGCCAAAUGGUUUAAUGAAGGAUGCAUUCCAAAAUUCGAAGAGUAUAUGAGAAUUGUAUUGACCUCC